UGUUUGUUUGUUUGUUUGUUUUUAAAGAUUUUAUUCAUUCAUUCAUAGAGACACAUAGAGAUAGAGAGGCAGAGACACAAGCAGAGGGAGCCUGAUGUGGGACUCGAUCCUGGGUCUCCAGGAUCACACCCUGGGCUGCAGGUGGCGCUAAACCGCUGCGCCACCAGGGCUGCCCAAGCCUGGUGUUUGAUAGGAGAAUUUCUGGCCAAUGAAAAGGGCAGACACCUCCCUGCCAAGCCUGAAAAGUUGCUCCUCUUGCUAGGUUGCUGUGCUGGAUACUAUCUGCUGGCUCAGUGGCAAAUCCUGCCCUAAACACACUUCCCAGAGGAUCUCACGGCAUGUUCUCAAUAUGACAGAGAUUCUGCUAAUGAGAUUCACUCACAAGACUCGGAAGGAAGAAGGGAGGCAGAGGCCAUCUUUCUGGGCUGUGGAGCAUGAGAAGCAAUCUCUUAUGGCACAAGCAUGGUGGCCAGACUCUCUAUUCCACUGUCCAGCCACCAACUCUAGGAGACUGGGACAGUUGAACAGCAGCAUUUGUGGUGGCAGAGACAGGACCAGCUUCCUGAACACUCACUGCAGCUAAAGAGGUGCUUAAGGACCACCGUCCCCAUGAUUCACUUCUGUCUGGCGCACGUGGCAUAUCAUCUGCACUGCUGGCUGCCGAGAUCACGCAGGCUCAGGCUGUUUUACUGUGCUGCUUACGCAGAUGGAACCAGUCCCGCAAGCACUAAAGAGGAUAUUUGCUGUAUUUGGUGUGGGAUCCUUUGGUGAAGGAGUCUGUACCAUGGUGUUAACAGUUUUGGCAACUGACUGUGUGUGUUGUUAAAUAAUGAAAUUUCUCAACGGCUCAUCUUACUCUGAAACUGUGUCUGUAUAUAAUACAUCAUCAAUCUUCAAUAUUUAUUUUCUCCUCACACUAAAAAUAGAGAUAUGUAGAGACAAAAUUCCCUUUAUUUUUAAUA